GUCUGUUAGCCUUUUAUACUUAUUUUGGCCACAUACUGAAUAGGGUUGUGUGAGGUGAAUUUUGAACUACAACUCACUAUUUCAAAAUUAAUCACUGAGUUAUAGUUGAAACCAUCUAUCAAGCGAGUUCACGUUAUCAAACGAGGACUAUGUAGACCUUCGACUUGAGUGUCUAUGGGUGGACAGUGUUGAGUAUCUGGCGGACCCCAGUCAUGUAAAAACAAAAAUUCAGAAGGUGGUUAGGUUUUCUUGUGGCCAAGCGGGAUAAAUAUCAGCCUUACUGCGAACCGCCGCAUACUCUUGACCCCCCCAAGGAGUCAACGACCUAGCCUUGAGUUCCUCUACUUCUUCUUCUUCCUCGUCGGUAAGAUCCUGGUGUAUGUCGGCGACCACACUUUCAGGAGUCCCCGGGGUCAGAGGCGAUCCGUGCCGACUACCGGCGCUGAGCCUUUGACUGGUGCCUUCGGUCUGACAAGAUUCCUGCUUCAACCCCUUUGGCGUCCACCUACUCUAGAGUAAUUUGUUCUCUCUGAAUCCGCGACACAAAGUUCUCUCCCCAAAAUUCCAAAGCAAAUGAAGGCCAACACCAUUGGAUUUCUUCAGCUCAUCUCGGUGAAUGUUAAAAAGAGCUCAAAGGUAUAAUCGAAGUUGAAGAACGAUUGUCAUAGCAGCAUGGAUUCGAAAGUGUUUUCAUUUGAAUUAUUUUUGUUUUCGGGAUGUGCCCUAGUGAGUUGAACUCAAUUAAUGACGUUUUGUACAUCCAUUGUCGUUUGCGUAGACCCGAUUGUUGGUCCUUAUUGCGUUACUUUAUCCUAAGAGGAGAUGUGGAAUCAUCAAAACAUGACUGACAAUUAAAAUAUGGUAAGACAUCUAAUUUGUUUAAUAUUAUUUCUUUCCAAGUAUUAUUAUUAUUAUCAUAUAUGGACCAAUAUUCACAAAGCAUUUCAUUUGUGUAUACGUGUGUGUAUGUAUUCUUUCCUUCUUAUGAAAUUAUCAUAUUGAAUUAAUAAUACGAUAUAUAAUGUAAUAAUACAUAAGAUAACAUUAAUAAUACAUAAUAUAAUU
rnacentral:lncRNA from 1 species